AGAUCUAUAGCUCAGUGGCAGAGCUUAUGCUUGAUAAGCAUAAUGUCGAUAAGUUCAAUUCUUUCUAGGUCUA
rnacentral:tRNA from 1 species